GCCUCGCUAGCUCAAUGGCUAGAGCGUGAGACUUUUAGGACCUCCAAGUCCAUCUCAAGGUUGCGGGUUCGACCCCCGCGUGAGGCU